rnacentral:lncRNA from 1 species
CAAAAAUCAAGUUAGAAAAUUUUAACUAUUUGAUAAAUGUAUCUUUGUUUCAAUUAAAAUUAAGUUUAAUUGGUGUGCUUUAAACAUUUAUUGUGCAUUGCAAAUUUUUGAAUUUCAAUUAUAGGGUUAACUUGGUCUUUUAUACUUUGUUGAUAAAAACUCAAGGUUAAUACUGUUCUAUAGAUAGCCAGUCAAAUUUUAAGAUGUAACAAUCUUGAAAAAAAAAAAGAACACUUUAAGAUUUUAAUAGCUGAAGUUUGCUAUAGAAGGUUAAUAGUAAAUGAGACAGAAGAAGAUAGUAGAAAAGCUAUGGGUAAAAGAAAUACACUUUUGAUAUGAAAAGAUUUUGUAUGUUUGUCUUGUUAGAAAGAUAUAAAGAAAGAUAUACAAGACCAGAAGGCUUAAGUAUGUAGAGAAGCUAUCAAGGUAGCUGAAACUCAGCUACACCACUCUAGAGUAAAACAGAAUUCCAGGGAAUCCGACUCUAGGAGGCCAAGAGACAACGCACUCAAAGCCCUGCUCUCACCACACCGGAAGCUGGUGAGUCUACGCACGGCUGAAGAAGGAGAACUACAAUCUAGAUAUAGACUCUUAUAUUGUGUCAUACUGUUAAGAGAUGCCUUUACAAAUUGCUGUGACCCCUUAGCUAAAAAUUUAAACAAUGAAUCAAGGAUUUGAUUCUACCUAAAAUCAGUGGGGAUUGUAAGACUUGAAUAGGCUAAAGUGACUCCAUGCUAAUAGGCCAGACUGUGCUUCUUCAUAUGCUAAUUGCUACCUUGGUUAACAGCCCACCCAGGGGCAAAUGGUUUGACAAAAGGUGACCCUAGAACAUUUCCUGCAUAAGAUAAGCAAUGUGUUUGCAGUCUUGUUCUGUGAAUUCCCUG